ensembl:lncRNA
CUCCCUGUGGGGUCUAAUUACUCAUUUCUGAAUGUGGUUCUUCACCCUCCCAUGGGCUGAGGCACUGCUGCUGAUGGCUGUGGGGUGGCUUUCCUGGUGAGUCCCAGCAUGGGAGUCACCUGCAAAUGGAUGUGCUUUGCCAAUGUGCUUUACACUUGAGCAGUUAAGUGCUUUCCACCACUGCCCACUCCAGUAAAGGAAAUCCUGAUUUCAGCGAAUGCAACAACUCCCAGUCAAGCUCAAUGAUUUAUUUCUUCUCUCUGUUGUUCAAUCCCCUCAACCUGGAUGCCACAUUUAAUGAAGAGCCUUACCCAGAUGCAUUAGAUAAUUCAUGAGAAGACUCAUUCAUAGUAGUUAAAAGCAUACAUGUGUUAGCUAUGGGAUAUUUAAGAAAUCUAAGCAUCCCACAGUUCAUUUCACAGUCAUCUGCAUUGGAUGUGCCAGCAUCCACUCUUGCAAAACAAUGAAGUUAAAAAAGAAGACCACUAUUUCAAUACGUGGUCCUGAGCAACCAAUAAAAUGGGCUGCCUUCCCUCUCCCAAAGCACUUGCAAGUUUAGCUCUGUAAAGGUUAAAUAAUUGGUUUAACCUGAUCCCUCUAUGACUCUCCUCUACCUUGUGGGAAAACUCCUGUAAGCUUAUUGUAAACAUAAUUAUGCUGUGUGGGCUUUUCAUUAAUCUAACAAAAAACCACAAGAUGACAUGCAUCAGACUUUUUUUCCCCAUUCUAGAACUUGCCUCCACUUGCAGUUGCUUAUUUCUAUGGUCUGAGCAUUUUUUUUUUUUUUUUCCAAAUGUACCAUGAUCUAAAUCUUCCCUAUUUCUUUACAUUUGAAGAAUUAAACAGUAAGUAUCCUGGGGUUAAUGAUACAGAAUUUAAGGCAGAUUUGGUUCUUUAGCCAUUGUGUGUGGACAUUAAGUCUCUCACCUUAAUGUUCCUAUGUUUUGGUGGCAAGUCAGGCAGCAAAAUAUGCCCUGAGGAUGUGAAAUACAAAGACUCGAAGACACUUUCAAUAGUGAUGCUCAGCCAAAGGACAUACUAUGCAUUGCCUCGUUGUCACUGUUGCCACCUGAACUACAUAUAGUUUGCAGGUUGUCAAGGCAUGGAUCUGUUAUUGCCUGUGCCUUGCUACAGACGUCCUAAGACACAAAAUGACUGAUGUGGGAAUAAAUAAAUGACCUGAAGCCAACUCGGUUGGGUUACCCCUGAGCCAUCUGAGCACUCCUGAUGUUAUC